rnacentral:rRNA from 1 species
CAUGCAAGUCGAACGAGAAUCUACUGAAGGAGGAUUCGUCCAACGGAAGUAGAGGAAAGUGGCGGACGGGUGAGUAACGCGUGAGGAACCUGCCUUGAAGAGGGGGACAACAGUUGGAAACGACUGCUAAUACCGCAUGAUGCAUAGGGGUCGCAUGAUCUUUAUGCCAAAGAUUUAUCGCUUCAAGAUGGCCUCGCGUCUGAUUAGCUGGUUGGCGGGGUAACGGCCCACCAAGGCGACGAUCAGUAGCCGGACUGAGAGGUUGAACGGCCACAUUGGGACUGAGAUACGGCCCAGACUUCUACGGGAGGCAGCAGUGGGGAAUAUUGGGCAAUGGGCGCAAGCCUGACCCAGCAACGCCGCGUGAAGGAAGAAGGCUUUCGGGUUGUAAACUUCUUUUAAGAGGGAAGAGCAGAAGACGGUACCUCUAGAAUAAGCCACGGCUAACUACGUGCCAGCAGCCGCGGUAAUACGUAGGUGGCAAGCGUUGUCCGGAUUUACUGGGUGUAAAGGGCGUGCAGCCGGGUCUGCAAGUCAGAUGUGAAAUCCAUGGGCUCAACCCAUGAACUGCAUUUGAAACUGUAGAUCUUGAGUGUCGGAGGGGCAAUCGGAAUUCCUAGUGUAGCGGUGAAAUGCGUAGAUAUUAGGAGGAACACCAGUGGCGAAGGCGGAUUGCUGGACGAUAACUGACGGUGAGGCGCGAAAGUGUGGGGAGCAAACAGGAUUAGAUACCCUGGUAGUCCACACUGUAAACGAUGAAUACUAGGUGUGCGGGGACUGACCCCCUGCGUGCCGCAGUAAACACAAUAAGUAUUCCACCUGGGGAGUACGAUCGCAAGG